rnacentral:rRNA from 1 species
UACGUAGGGUGCGAGCGUUGUCCGGAAUUAUUGGGCGUAAAGAGCUCGUAGGCGGUGUGUCGCGUCGGCCGUGAAAACCUGGGGCUCAACCUUGGGCUUGCAGUGGGUACGGGCAGACUAGAGUGCGGUAGGGGUGACUGGAAUUCCUGGUGUAGCGGUGGAAUGCGCAGAUAUCAGGAGGAACACCGAUGGCGAAGGCAGGUCACUGGGCCGCAACUGACGCUGAGGAGCGAAAGCAUGGGGAGCGAACAGG